ensembl:miRNA
GAGGUGGGAGGAUUGCUUAAGCCCAGGAGGUCGAGGCUACAGUGAACUGUGUUCAUACCACUGCACUCCAGCCUGAGUGACAAAGAAAGACCAUGUCUCA